rnacentral:rRNA from 1 species
CCUACGGGUGGCAGCAGUGGGGAAUAUUGCACAAUGGGGGAAACCCUGAUGCAGCGACGCCGCGUGAGUGAAGAAGUAUUUCGGUAUGUCAAGCUCUGUCAGCAGGGAAGAAAAUGACGGUACCUGACCAAGAAGCCCCGGCUAAAUACGUGCCAGCAGCCGCGGGCAUCCGUCGGGGGCCAGCGUUAUCCGGAUUUACUGGGUGUAAAGGGAGCGUAGACGGCAGGGCAAGUCUGGAGUGCAAGACGUGGGGUCAACCCCCGGACUGCUCUGGAAACUGCCAGUCUGGAGUGCAGGAGAGGUAAGUGGAAUGCCUAGUGUAGCGGUGAAAUGCGUAGAUAUUAGGAGGAACACCAGUGGCGAAGGCGGCUUACUGGAGUGUAACUGACGUAGAGGCUCGAAAGCGUGGGGAGCAAACAGGAUUAGAUACCCCUGUAGUC